AGUGAACGCUGGCGGUAGGCCUAACACAUGCAAGUCGAACGGCAGCACAGUAAGAGCUUGCUCUUACGGGUGGCGAGUGGCGGACGGGUGAGGAAUACAUCGGAAUCUACUUUUUCGUGGGGGAUAACGUAGGGAAACUUACGCUAAUACCGCAUACGAUCUACGGGUGAAAGCAGGGGAUAUUCGGACCUUGCGCGUUUGAAUGAGCCGAUGUCGGAUUAGCUAGUUGGCGGGGUAAAGGCCCACCAAGGCGACGAUCCGUAGCUGGUCUGAGAGGAUGAUCAGCCACACUGGAACUGAGACACGGUCCAGACUCCUACGGGAGGCAGCAGUGGGGAAUAUUGGACAAUGGGCGCAAGCCUGAUCCAGCCAUACCGCGUGGGUGAAGAAGGCCUUCGGGUUGUAAAGCCCUUUUGUUGGGAAAGAAAAGCAGCAGGUUAAUACCCCGCUGUUCUGACGGUACCCAAAGAAUAAGCACCGGCUAACUUCGUG
rnacentral:rRNA from 1 species